UACGAAGGGGGCUAGCGUUGCUCGGAAUCACUGGGCGUAAAGGGUGCGUAGGCGGGUCUUUAAGUCAGGGGUGAAAUCCUGGAGCUCAACUCCAGAACUGCCUUUGAUACUGAGGAUCUUGAGUUCGGGAGAGGUGAGUGGAACUGCGAAGUGUAGAGGUGAAAUUCGUAGAUAUUCGCAAGAACACCAGUGGCGAAGGCGGCUCACUGGCCCGGUACUGACGCUGAGGUGCGAAAGCGUGGGAGCAAACAGG
rnacentral:rRNA from 1 species